UACGUAGGGUGCGAGCGUUAAUCGGAAUUACUGGGCGUAAAGCGUGCGCAGGCGGUUUUGUAAGUCAGAUGUGAAAUCCCCGGGCUCAACCUGGGAACUGCAUUUGUGACUGCAUGGCUGGAGUGCGGCAGAGGGGGAUGGAAUUCCGCGUGUAGCAGUGAAAUGCGUAGAUAUGCGGAGGAACACCGAUGGCGAAGGCAAUCCCCUGGGCCUGCACUGACGCUCAUGCACGAAAGCGUGGGGAGCAAACAGG
rnacentral:rRNA from 1 species